GAUGAAGAACGUAGCGAAAUGCGAUACGUAAUGUGAAUUGCAGAUUUCAGUGAAUCAUCGAAUCUUUGAACGCACAUUGCGCCCGCCGGUAUUCCGGCGGGCAUGCCUGUCCGAGCGUCAUUUCACCACUCAAGCCCAGCUUGGUGUUGGGGCACCCGGCCGCCUGGCGGUCGGGGCCCCCAAGUACAUCGGCGGUCCCGCUGGGGGCUCCGAGCGCAGUAGCUCGCGGUAAAACGCGCCCCUCGCUCGGCGGCUCCUUCGGGCUUCCAGCCGCUAAACCCGUCCACCGACGCCCUUCGAGUUGACCUCGGAUCAGGUAGGAAUACCCGCUGAACUUAAGCAUAUCAAUAAGCGGAGGA
rnacentral:misc_RNA from 1 species